GAGUUUGAUCUUGGCUCAGAUUGAACGCUGGCGGCAGGCCUAACACAUGCAAGUCGAGCGGAUGACGGGAGCUUGCUCCUUGAUUCAGCGGCGGACGGGUGAGUAAUGCCUAGGAAUCUGCCUGGUAGUGGGGGACAACGUUUCGAAAGGAACGCUAAUACCGCAUACGUCCUACGGGAGAAAGCAGGGGACCUUCGGGCCUUGCGCUAUCAGAUGAGCCUAGGUCGGAUUAGCUAGUUGGUGGGGUAAUGGCUCACCAAGGCGACGAUCCGUAACUGGUCUGAGAGGAUGAUCAGUCACACUGGAACUGAGACACGGUCCAGACUCCUACGGGAGGCAGCAGUGGGGAAUAUUGGACAAUAGGCGAAAGCCUGAUCCAGCCAUGCCGCGUGUGUGAAGAAGGUCUUCGGAUUGUAAAGCACUUUAAGUUGGGAGGAAGGGCAGUAAGUUAAUACCUUGCUGUUUUGACGUUACCGACAGAAUAAGCACCGGCUAACUCUGUGCCAGCAGCCG
rnacentral:rRNA from 1 species